GAUGAACGCUAGCUACAGGCUUAACACAUGCAAGUCGAGGGGUAACGAGAGGAAAGCUUGCUUUCCUUGUCGACGACCGGCGCGCGGGUGAGUAACGCGUAUCCAACCUGCCCCCAACUAAGGAAUAACCUUGCGAAAGUAAGACUAAUACCUUAUAAUUUCCUCAGAUGUCAUCUGACGAGGAAUAAAGAUUUAUCGGUUUUGGAUGGGGAUGCGUCUGAUUAGCUUGUUGGCGGGGUAACGGCCUACCAAGGCAACGAUCAGUAGGGGUUCUGAGAGGAAGGUCCCCCACAUUGGAACAGAGACACGGUCCAAACUCCUACGGGAGGCAGCAGUGAGGAAUAUUGGUCAAUGGGCGGAAGCCUGAACCAGCCAAGUAGCGUGCAGGAUGACGGCCCUAUGGGUUGUAAACUGCUUUUAUACAGGAAUAAAGUUAGCCACGUGUGGUUAUUUGUAGGUACUGUAUGAAUAAGGACCGGCUAAUUCCGUGCCAGCCGCCGCCGUAA
rnacentral:rRNA from 1 species